ensembl:lncRNA
UGUGGGAGGAUUUACACUCCACUGUUCCUACUUCUCUACACAAAAAAGAGAGAAAACUCAACCGGUAUUUGGACAGAUGUGGAAAUCUGUAUAGUCUACUUCUGCCUUCAUACAAAAAUCACACAAAUGACACUAACGUCCAUUUUGGUAUCUUCUAGUACUAUUACUAUUAGUAGAGCAGUAGUAUUAGUAUUCUAAUAUUACUAGUAAUACUACUAGAUGAUAUUACUAACAGUAGUAGCAGCAGCAGCAACAGCACUACUGGUAUUCUAAUAUUACCAGUAGUACUGUUAGUAGAAGUAAUACUAGUAGAAGUAAUAGCAGUAAUAGUACUACUAGUAGAAGUAAUAGCAGUAGUAGUAUUACUGGUAGAAGUAAUAGCAGUAGUAGUAUUACUGGUAGAAGUAAUAGCAGUAGUAGUAUUACUAGUAGAAAUAAUAGCAGUAGUAUUAUUACUAGUAGAAGUAAUAGCAGUAGUAGUAUUAUUACUAGUAGAAGUAAUAGCAGUAGUAGCACUACUAGUAGAAGUAAUAGCAGUAGUAGUAUUACUGGUAGAAGUAAUAGCAGUAGUAGUAUUACUAGUAGAAGUAAUAGCAGUAGUAGUAUUACUAGUAGAAGUAAUAGCAGUAGUAGUAUUACUAGUAGAAGUAAUAGCAGUAGUAGUAUUACUAGUAGAAGUAAUAGCAGUA